rnacentral:lncRNA from 1 species
GAAUCCAUCCUACAUCUGGAGCAGUCACCCAGGCCUGUCUGCCUCCCAGUGUCCUCCUCCCAGUCUUCAGCCCUCUGCCCAGUAGCCCGAGAUGAGCCCACAGUCAAGGUGAUGAGUGUGGUGGGGCCAGAGGGAAAAAAUAUGUUGCAUGCUUCAUUUUAAAGAUUAGAAAGCCACUACCCUGGAGUGUGGCUGAAACAUUUUGGAAGAUUGUUUGCCAAGCAGAUAUUUUUCUUCUGUAAACACACACUAGACAGAAAUCCCAUGGGCUGAUGCCAGGAGCGAAUAGUCAGAGAGGAAGUAAGAAGUUUAGGCCCUUGUGAACUGUCUCUUCAGGCUGAGUUGGGGGGUGCCUGCUUGAUGGAACCCUUAGAUAAAUUUGGGGAUAAAUCAGACUAGGAGAAAAAUCAUAGCCCAAAAUGUGAUAGAAAAAACCCUGAGAAACCUGUAAAUUCUCUUACGCUGUGCA